rnacentral:lncRNA from 1 species
AUUAGCAAUGAACAAGAUUCAAAAAUGUGCAUUUGAUGAGUUGAUUGACCCAUAUCUUGGGUACAAGUCAGAUGAGGAAAUUAAAAGAAUGACAACUUCAGUUGCAGAGUUGGCUUUUUUAUGCUUGCAGCAGGGCAAGGAAAUCAGACCUUGUAUGAAUGAGGUGCUAAAGGAACUAAAAGCAAUGGAGAGUGGGGGGUAUGAGUUGGAGAAUCUGGAACAGGAGCAUGGUGAUAACGAUGCAUCAAAGAAAAAAGAACCUCCGGAUUGUUAUGUGGUUGCAUUGCUAAAGAAUAUCCGGUCACCGCUGUCAUCGAAUUCCACAACUGAUCAGUGGUUUAGCAGUUCUACUACACCUAAUGUCAGCAAUUAAUAUUUCAACUGUGUUGCUUUAUUAGUAUAUUUUGGCCGUUAUAUCCAUGUCCAAACUGCAAUAAAGAGAUUGAUGACCAGAAAACUGCAUACCUUUUCUUUAAUUGACACCUCGAGAAUAUCCUCAAUACAAUUUGUGCAUCCCAUGGCUGCUCCAGAACUCCAUAUGCUUUGAACUAUUUAUGCUCUGUUUCUUUACCAUCAUUCUCCUAAAACUAGAACUGUGUGGUUAUGUUUUACAAGCAAAUUAAAUCCCUGAUAUUCGAACAGAUUUCUCCACUGAUGCUCCUACUCUACAACAGGCUCAUCCAAUAGUGGUCGAUAGAGAACGGAAGAGGAGCUAGAAAUGCUUGGUCAUGGCAAGUUCCAUGCACAAGUGUAAGGCAUAUUUCUCCAAGCCAAUUGGAAACUGAAGAUACCGUAUUGUUAUCUAAGGUUUGAAUCUAGGGAGGCCGGGAGAAGAAUUCUUCUUUUUGCGAGGAGGACGUGCUUACUCGAUUAGGAAGAAAUAGGUGAAGAACUUGAACUUCGAGGGGCUGGCAAUGAAGUGGAGGAACAAAAUGCAAGAAAAAUGAUUUUGGCAAGCUUGUGGUGCAUACAAACCGACCCCUCAAAUCGCCCACCAAUGUCUAGAGUUGUAGACAUGUUGCAAGGAAGUCUUGAGUCCUUGCCAAUCCCGCCGAAACCUUACUUGUCUUCCCCUCCAAGACCUCCUCACAGAUCAAAUUCAAAUUCUUAAACAACCAGUGUCAUAAUUCAUGACCUUUAAGUUCCAAAUACUCAUCGCAUCUUCCUUGCAUGAGACCAUGACGCAUUGUACCAAAAAUGUCUUGUAAAACUCUGUGGCCUGAGCUAGUCAAUAUUGUGUAUUUCUCUCAGAAGACUACAUGUUGUUUGCACAUUUAAGAUGCAGAAAACUCGUUCUAACUCUAACCAAUUAGCGUGUCGGUAUGUUGGCGAUUUGAAUCCUAAAUACAGACUUCAAACAGAAUCUUCUAGCCUUACUCUACUCUCGAAAUGGGAGGGCUAGAAGAAGUGAUCAGUUCAUUAUAAUUUUUACAUCAGCAAGACCGACAGUUGUUCUCAACUUAAAGUCAUUAAAUUAGGGACCAAUAGUCAUUAAAAAAAAUAGUGGAUAUUUUUGAAUUUUUUAUUUUUUUAAAAUAAAAAAUAUAUCAUUUAGUAAAUUUACAUUUUACAAUAAAAAUUCAUAAAUAAAUUAUAGAGUAAAAUACCUGAAAAACAAACAUGAGAGACACAUAAAUAAAUUAAAUAAAUUUAAAAAGUUCUAUGAUUUUUUAGGCUAGAUCUAACCUAGCCUGUACAGACCGGCUGAACAGCAGGAAGCAUGCUUUAACUAAUUCAUGCAUGCAUGUAUAGUAUGCAUGUAUAUGACCGGUGAAUUAAAAUGUGAUGUAUAAUGUCUAAUGAAUUAAAAUUGUAACAGGUGGGAAAUGAACAACUUACGUUUUGGAAAUGUGUUUAUAAUUAUUUUUUAAAAUAAUUUUUAUUUAGAAAUGUAUUAAAAUAAUAUUUUUUAUAUUUUUUAAAAAUUAUUUUUGAUAUUAAUAUAUUAAAAUGAUUUUAAAAUAUUAAAAAAAUAUUAAUAUAAAAAAAAAGAAAAUAAAAAAAAUUAAAUUUUUUUUAAAACAUUUUUCAAACACAUAAAUAAAGCCCACUGAACUGGUGCGCUGACUAAGUGGACGCUCUUUCCUCUUUCUUGUUUUCCUCUUUCGUCUUCUCUUGUUCUUUCUUUUUGUCUUUCUUUUUCUUGGUUCCUGUGUCUGUCUGUCUCUCUGUAAUGUCUGUCUUUCCUUCUCUAUUUUUGUUCUCCCUGUCUUUGUUUUUACGUUCUCGUGUUUUUUUUAAGUCUUCUCUCUGCCUCUUUCCCUGUUUGCGUUUUCAGGUCCUCUGUGUUAUAUUCUCUCUGCAUUUGCUACUUUCGUUCCCUCUGGUUUUUCUCGUGUUUUUUUUUCUCCAUGCUACCUUCUGUGUUUUCGUUCUUCUCUGUUUCCUCUCCUGUUCCUGUCCGUGUGUUUUUGCUCCUGUUCUUUUGUUCGUUUUUCCCCUGUUCUCUUUUUCUCGCUCCCUCUGGUUCCCCCCCCCCCUUUCUGUUCAUUCUUUCUAUGGCUUUUAUAAAGCCAGAGAACGUGGAUCAUGGAGUCACCUUCUUCCAUGUGUGAUAGAGGAAAAACCUGGGAGUAAUGCAUCGUGUGGGACGUGACCCACGAUUUCGAGCAGCUUCUGCGUUGGUCUUCCCUGGAUGAGGUAGAAGGUGAAUAGUUGUUUCGUAAAACGGCGCCGUUUCCAGACGAAUAUGGCUAUUUUCAAUUUGGCCCCCUAAGCGUCUGACUUUAACAAUUGGGUCCCUAAUCAAGGAAAAUCUCUUUUUUCUUUUGAAUUUUUCCCCUGGAUCAAAUUACAAUUCAAAACACUAGAUUUAGGCAACAUUUACAAAAUAGUUCUUUUGUUCUAAUUUAAUUAAUUCAGUUCUUAAUUGACUCCUCAACAUUUAAUUCUUUCAAAAUUACAACUGGAAAAAUCAAUUAACCCCCUAUAGCAUUACCGACAAUUUACUUUGGUCCUUGUACUUUAAUUUCUUGCAAUUAUGACCCAAAUCAACACAAAACUUUGUUAUUUCUUCAAUUAAGUUCUUGAUUGCAUUCAUUAAUCAAAACAAAGUUUAAUUUAGUCCCUAAACUUAUCAAUUCUUCUAAUUUUUAACUAAAUUGACUUCUAAAUUUAUAAUUUCAUCCUUAUUAAUCCUCAAAUUUUUAAUUUGUGUUGUCUUAACUCAAUUCUCAAAAUAUUUUUUUUAUUCAUUCAUUUUUUUUAAAAAAUUCAAAAAUAAAAUUACGAUAUUUUUCAACAUUGAGUUAUUUAAUAAUUGAACUUUAUAGUUUCAUUUAAUUUGCUUUUGACAAGUUUUAUAGUUUUUUUAGGUUGUCAAUUUAUUUAUUGUUUUUGUAUUUUUUAUUUGUAUUAUUUAAAUUAACCAAGUUUAUUAAACUCAAAUGAAUCAAUAACUCGAGUCUCGGGGUUUUUUUUUUAAAAAAAAUACUUGCAUUAUCUUAACACUAUUUUUACAUUAAAAAAAAAUUAGAUUAGCCCAUGGUACAACGAACCCUAUCUAGUUAUUACUAUGAAACAAAUUGAUUUCCUUGUAGAAAGGUUUUUCCUUGGAUCCCUCCACAGAGAUUGCCCAUGGGAUGGAAGUAAUUGAAACAUCACCUUUGGACUCAUGGCCACAAUUUUUAUUUUUUUUUACUUUAGAGAUGACAAUGACCCAUGAAUUACACCUCUGCCUCUAUGAUCCCUCCUCCACGUUUGAACUUUCCUUGGAUGCUUAAUGUGUCAUUUUUCUCUCACCAAUUUCUCAUCUUCCCUAGAACUCCAUCCUUGGCAUCUAGUAAGCUCAGGGACCGUGUAAUGGAGUCCAUUCUUUGAGAAGGAUGCAUGAUUGUCAUUUUUUAAGCGUAGUAAAAUGACUGAAACCCUAUUCUUCGCUUUCUUGUUAUUGCACAUGCAGGCGUUUAUAACAAGCUGCAAAGAAGUCUCUGUUAAUAUUGCGUGGUAUUUGGGAAGAAGACUUUGAAAAGUCAAUAGGUCAACUUCUCUUUGAUUUGCUAGCCAGUGGGAAGGAGUCUUUCAAAGACCAGGUGCAAAUUUACUGGGCUGGUGCUAUCACCUACCAAACAGACGAUGUCUAACAUGUAAAUUUCGCAGGGCUACCCCACCUGCUGUCCAUCUUAAUUACUAGUCUUCCUGCUCAAGUUUCCAAGUCAACUGACGUGUGUUGCCAGAUAAAGAAUUAUAUGUACUUUGAAGAGACACCAAGAUAGUUCUAGUAAGAGAAGUUGAUCCUGUUGGUGUCUCCAUUUUGUUUCUUAAAAUUGGGAGCUCGGGGAUGGCUCCCGUCCCUUUGCUAGUUUUCUUUGCCCUCUUUAACCCUUUGCUUCUUUGCGCUUCCAAAGAAGAUGGCUGGGCCUUCAAGAACUGUCCGCCUUUCAAUUGUGGAAAGUUCGGAGAUAUCGGGUUCCCAUUUACCAAAAACACAAGUUCUGAGAUGUGCGGUCCCUGCGUGGAUGGUUGUGACAAAAAUUCUCAAAGGAUCCAACUUGUAAGGGGAGGAAAAUGGUUUGAACUUCACAACAUCUCUCAGGCUGGUCUCAUUUCAAUCACUGAUGAAGAAUUACGGGGACAUUUGAAUUCCAAUUCAUGCGAUUCCUUCAACAAUUUGAGUCUUCCACCAAGUCUCCCAUACUUAUCUAUAAAUCUCCACCCAAACUUUAUUCAAAUGUACUGACCCCAGUGUCAAUUUUCCUCACCAUCUUGAAUUUAACUAUACAGGAUGCAAGAACUUCAGCAUCUAUUAUAAUCGCAACACCAGUCUACCUAGUCCUCCACCUACCUGUUCAAUUCUUCAGCUCCCAGUGAAUAAAGCCGAGAGUUAUGAUGACAUAUUCAGGCAGUUAACAGCUACCUUCUCUAUUGAAGUUUUCGUAUUCCCUCCCUGUCAUCAUUGUUAUUUGCAAGGAGGGGCAUGUCAAAUCAUCGAAGGAAAGCCCAAAUGCAUCCAUUCAAUUGAAGGUAUGAUAUGCAUGGACACAGCAAAAAUAGGGAGAGAUAAAUACAUGCAAGUUUAUUUGUAUAUGUAUACUACGACCCACUAUAGUCCUGAGGACCUUAAGACCUUUUACUAGACCUACUAUCCUUUAUAUUCCACUCAGUUCCUGUCUUCUAUGCAAUUGAUUUUAGCUUACUGGGUUUGGUUUACAAUUAUGGGUCGUGAGAAUAGAAUUUAGCUUGCCACAAAAUCCCAUAUUACUCAUAAGCAGGUCCUCCUUGCUCUUAAUUUCAUUUUUUUAUUUUUUGCUGAUUUUUGUGCAUGUUAAAUAUUGGAGAAUUCGAUUUGGCAAAGCAUGCAUAAAUUCGUUGUUUUAACUUUUAAGUUUUGCACUAAUGCCAUAUUCCCUUUUUUAUUUGUGUUGCAGAGAGAAAAAAAUUGAGAUUGAAGCUCGGACUAGGUAAUUUACCUCCUCAACAUUUCAAUUUCUCUUCUGCAUAUGUUUCGGGAACAACAUUCAAUGAAAAUCCUCCUGCCAGUAAAAUAGUUUCCUCCAAGGAUAUAUUCAAGUUAAAAAUACAGUACUCUUCUUUUCAACUGCAGGUCUCGGAGUCCCUUUCAUGGUAUUAAUAAUUUUGGUGUCCAUAUUUUUCAUCCGGUGGCAUCGACACAAGAGAACACACAUUUCCUCUAACGUCAAUUCAGCAAAUGCUUCUUCAGAUCCCUCAUCAAAAUCAGACCCGGAAGGGGACAGUAACUACUUUGGGGUCCCCAUCUUCUCCUAUUCUGAACUUGAAGAAGCCACAAACAACUUCGAUUCCAAACACGAACUUGGUGACGGAGGUUUUGGAACUGUAUAUUACGGUAGGUUUUCUUAACUGAAAAACAAAGGAUGAAAGAAAGAAAGCUAGCGACUUUAUUUAUGGGCUUUUCUUUUUUUAUUUAUCAAUCUCGACAGGCAAACUCCGAGAUGGGCGGGAAGUUGCAGUCAAGCGCCUAUAUGAACACAAUCGUAAGAGGAUAAAGCAGUUCAUGAAUGAAAUUCAAAUCCUUACUCGCCUGCGCCACAAAAAUCUUGUGUCUCUUUAUGGGUGUACUUCUUGCUACAGCCGCGAGCUCCUCCUUGUCUAUGAAUACAUUCCCAAUGGCACAGUUGCAGAUCAUCUCCAUCAUGAUCGAGCCAAAUCUGGUUCACUAACUUGGACUAUUCGAAUGAGGAUAGCCAUAGAAACGGCUGGCGCAUUGGCUUAUCUGCAUGCUACUGAUAUCAUUCACCGGGAUGUAAAAACGAACAAUAUACUUCUUGACAACAAUUUCUGUGUGAAAGUUGCAGAUUUUGGGCUUUCCAGGUUGUUCCCCAACGAUGUCACUCACAUCUCAACUGCUCCACAGGGAACACCUGGCUAUCUUGACCCAGAAUACCAUCAGUGUUACCAGUUGACAGCUAAGAGUGAUGUCUAUAGCUUUGGUGUUGUCCUCAUUGAGCUCAUAUCAUCAAUGCCUGCUGUUGAUAUGACUAGGAAUCAGCAUGAGAUAAAUUUGGGCCACAUUAGCAAUGAACAAGAUUCAAAAAUGUGCAUUUGAUGAGUUGAUUGACCCAUAUCUUGGGUACAAGUCAGAUGAGGAAAUUAAAAGAAUGACAACUUCAGUUGCAGAGUUGGCUUUGUUAUGCUUGCAGCAGGGCAAGGAAAUCAGACCUUGUAUGAAUGAGGUGCUAAAGGAACUAAAAGCAAUGGAGAGUGGGGGGUAUGAGUUGGAGAAUCUGGAACAGGAGCAUGGUGAUAACGAUGCAUCAAAGAAAAAAGAACCUCCGGAUUGUGAUGUGGAUGCAUUGUUAAAGAAUAUCCGGUCACCGCGGCCAUCGAAUUCCACAACUGAUCAGUGGUUUAGCAGUUCUACUACACCUAAUGUCAGCAAUUAAUAUUUCUACUUUGUGCUCCUUUAUUAGUAUAUUUUGGCCGUUAUAUACGGGCUUCAACAUGAAACAUCUAAUCCCUGUCCAAACUGCAAUAGAG